rnacentral:lncRNA from 1 species
AGCAUGCAUCACUGUCAAGAAUUUUAUGAACAUGAUAGAAAAUAAUAAGAACGCUGUCCUCUAAUUAAGAGGACAGGCAACUGGCAGACACAAGUAAAUAAAACAAGCAAAGAAUUCCACUCCACUUUAAUGGCUAACACACAACGUGGUCACUGGCAAAUCCCUGGAUGUCACCUUUUAUGCAUUCACGGCGUUCAGCUUUGGGUAAGGCUCAAAGCCAUGGUCCACCGUUGUUGGCAGAAUACUCGCCGAUCCAAACGCCGGGUAAUUAAGUGAAGAGGGGAGGUCAUUUUCUGGAAGCGUUGGUGCACUUAUUAAGAGUACAGCCCGGACCUCCAUUAUUAAGAAACUGAUGUGAUGACCCAAAAGGAUUCAAUUUCAGUGCUGCAUCAUUGCCCCAAAAUGGAGAACGUAGCUUUAAUACCAUUGCCCAAUGACGAGUUCCCAAUUGUGGCUCUUUUUUUUGGUUGGAAAAUGGUGCAUGGCUUUGUGAACAGGUAGUAGGCACCCAUGAAUGCAAAAAUUUUUGUCUGCAAACCCUAUUUCACAAGAAAUUGUUUGUGAAGAUUAAUUGUCACUUCAGCAUUGCAUUUGCUCUCGAUGUGUGUGAUCGGACUUUAUAAGUGCCAUAAUAAUAUGUAAGAUUCUUUCUUAAUUGGAUGGAGCAUAUUCAUUAAAUCAUUGUUAGAGACAAUGAUACAUUAAUUGUUGCUCCCAUGGCAAAUCAACCAUGCAAAAGAGGAACAUGGCGACCCACUAGAUUUUGUCUGUUUAUUGAGUAUGAUUAGUAAAACAAAGAUAUAUGCUAUGAGAACCCAUGUUAUAAUAUCAUUUCAAGGAACAUUCCAUGUCAAUGGACAAAAACCAGUCACAUGCUUCAUAUUCAGGGCCACAAGUAUGCUAUAUUUUCUUUUCAAACAGGAUGCAACUAAAGUUGUCUGUAAUGAUAUGAGUUAUUGUAGAUUUGUUAUUCUGGGAAUAAAAAUUGAUUACUAAGACAAAACUUAUGUAAUGAGGA